rnacentral:rRNA from 1 species
UAACCUGCCUUGGAUGGGGAAUAACAGCUGGAAACAGCUGCUAAUAACGCAUAAUGCAGUUGGGUCGCAUGGCUCUGACUGCCAAAGAUUUAUCGCUCUGAGAUGGACUCGCGUCUGAUUAGCUAGUUGGCGGGGCAACGGCCCACCAAGGCGACGAUCAGUAGCCGGACUGAGAGGUUGGCCGGCCACAUUGGGACUGAGACACGGCCCAGACUCCUACGGAAGGCAGCAG